rnacentral:rRNA from 1 species
CUGCGGUGCAUUAGCUAGUUGGUAGGGUAACGGCUUACCAAGGCAAUGAUGCAUAGCCGAGUUGAGAGACUGAUCGGCCACAUUGGGACUGAGACACGGCCCAAACUCCUACGGGAGGCAGCAGUAGGGAAUCUUCCACAAUGGACGAAAGUCUGAUGGAGCAACGCCGCGUGAGUGAAGAAGGGUUUCGGCUCGUAAAGCUCUGUUGGUAGUGAAGAAAGAUAGAGGUAGUAACUGGCCUUUAUUUGACGGUAAUUACUUAGAAAGUCACGGCUAACUACGUGCCAGCAGCCGCGGUAAUACGUAGGUGGCAAGCGUUGUCCGGAUUUAUUGGGCGUAAAGCGAGUGCAGGCGGUUCAAUAAGUCUGAUGUGAAAGCCUUCGGCUCAACCGGAGAAUUGCAUCAGAAACUGUUGAACUUGAGUGCAGAAGAGGAGAGUGGAACUCCAUGUGUAGCGGUGGAAUGCGUAGAUAUAUGGAAGAACACCAGCGGCGAAGGCAGCCAUCUGGCCUAAUACUGACGCUGAGGUACGAAAGCAUGGGGAGCAAACAGGAUUAGAUACCCUGGUAGUCCAUGCCGUAAACGAUGUCUACUAGCCGUUGGGGCCUUUGAGGCUUUAGUGGCGCAGCUAACGCGAUAA